ACGGGUGAGUAACGCGUGGGAAUCUACCCAUCUCUGCGGAAUAGCUCUGGGAAACUGGAAUUAAUACCGCAUACGCCCUACGGGGGAAAGAUUUAUCGGGGAUGGAUGAGCCCGCGUUGGAUUAGCUAGUUGGUGGGGUAAAGGCCUACCAAGGCGACGAUCCAUAGCUGGUCUGAGAGGAUGAUCAGCCACAUUGGGACUGAGACACGGCCCAAACUCCUACGGGAGGCAGCAGUGGGGAAUAUUGGACAAUGGGCGCAAGCCUGAUCCAGCCAUGCCGCGUGAGUGAUGAAGGCCUUAGGGUUGUAAAGCUCUUUCACCGGUGAAGAUAAUGACGGUAACCGGAGAAGAAGCCCCGGCUAACUUCGUGCCAGCAGCCGCGGUAAUACGAAGGGGGCUAGCGUUGUUCGGAAUUACUGGGCGUAAAGCGCACGUAGGCGGAUAUUUAAGUCAGGGGUGAAAUCCCAGAGCUCAACUCUGGAACUGCCUUUGAUACUGGGUAUCUUGAGUAUGGAAGAGGUAAGUGGAAUUGCGAGUGUAGAGGUGAAAUUCGUAGA
rnacentral:rRNA from 1 species